rnacentral:rRNA from 1 species
UACGUAGGGGACAAGCGUUGUCCGGAUUUAUUGGGCGUAAAGAGCGUGUAGGCGGCCUGAAAGGUCAGCUGUGAAAACUCGAGGCUCAACCUCGAGACGUCGGUUGAAACCAUCUGGCUAGAGUCCGGAAGAGGAGUGUGGAAUUCCCGGUGUAGCGGUGAAAUGCGCAGAUAUCGGGAAGAACACCCGUGGCGAAGGCGGCACUCUGGGACGGUACUGACGCUGAGACGCGAAAGCGUGGGGAGCGAACAGG